ACACGGUAAACGAUGGAUGCUCGCUGUGUGCCCUCGGGUACGUGGCCAAGCGAAAGCAUUAAGCAUCCCACCUGGGGAGUACGCCGGCAACGGUGAAACUCAAAGGAAUUGACGGGGGCCCGCACAAGCGGAGGAACAUGUGGUUUAAUUCGAUGAUACGCGAGGAACCUUACCCGGGCUUGAACUGCACAGGACGGAUCCAGAGAUGGUGACUCCCUUCGGGGCCUGUGUGGAGGUGCUGCAUGGUUGUCGUCAGCUCGUGCCGUGAGGUGUCGGCUUAAGUGCCAUAACGAGCGCAACCCCUUUCCUUAGUUGCCAUCAGGUCAAGCUGGGCACUCUGGGGACACUGCCACCGUAAGGUGUGAGGAAGGUGGGGAUGACGUCAAAUCAGCACGGCCCUUACGUCCGGGGCUACACACGUGUUACAAUGGCGCAUACAGAGAGCCGGUCGGCGGCAACGUCGAUCCAAUCCUUAAAAUGCGUCGUAGUUCGGAUUGGGGUCUGCAACCCGACCCCAUGAAGCUGGAUUCGCUAGUAAUCGCGCAUCAGCCAUGGCGCGGUGAAUACGUUCCCGGGCCUUGUACACACCGCCCGUCAAGCCAUGAAAGCCGGGGGCACCUGAAGUCUGUGACCGCAAGGGGCGGCCUAAGGUGAAACUGGUAAUUGGGGCU
rnacentral:rRNA from 1 species